rnacentral:rRNA from 1 species
UACGUAGGGUGCGAGCGUUAAUCGGAAUUACUGGGCGUAAAGCGCACGUAGGCGGGUUUGUAAGUCGGGGGUGAAAUCCCAGAGCUCAACUCUGGAACUGCCUUCUAAACUGCAAGCCUGGAGGUCAGGAGAGGCGAGUGGAAUACCGAGUGUAGAGGUGAAAUUCGUAGAUAUUCGGUGGAACACCAGUGGCGAAGGCGACUCGCUGGACUGAUACUGACGCUGAGGUGCGAAAGCGUGGGGAGCAAACAGG